GUGAAGGUGGCCUGUGAGGGUUGCUGGAGGUAUCAGAAGUGCGAAUGCUGACAUAAGUAACGAUAAAGCGGGUGAAAAGCCCGCUCGCCGGAAGACCAAGGGUUCCUGUCCAACGUUAAUCGGGGCAGGGUGAGUCGACCCCUAAGGCGAGGCCGAAAGGCGUAGUCGAUGGGAAACGGGUUAAUAUUCCCGUACUUGGUGUUACUGCGAAGGGGGGACGGAGAAGGCUAUGUUGGCCGGGCGACGGUUGUCCCGGUUUAAGCGUGUAGGUGUGUGUUCCAGGUAAAUCCGGUUCACUUUAACACUGAGGCGUGAUGACGAGGCACUACGGUGCUGAAGCAACAAAUGCCCUGCUUCCAGGAAAAGCCUCUAAGCAUCAGGUAACAUCAAAUCGUACCCCAAACCGACACAGGUGGUCAGGUAGAGAAUACCAAGGCGCUUGAGAGAACUCGGGUGAAGGAACUAGGCAAAAUGGUGCCGUAACU
rnacentral:rRNA from 1 species